rnacentral:pre_miRNA from 1 species
UCUUAUGGAUGAGCAGAGAAGUGGUUUCUUAAGAUGGGAUCUACUCUAGUGAAGAUGCUGUGAA